rnacentral:lncRNA from 10 species
GUUCCGUCCACCUUCCGGAAGUCAGGGCCGCGGCGCUUCUGGUCCCGGAGACUUGGGGCUCCCGGGCUUCUGAGCGGCUCGGGUUCCGCGCUGCCGGCAGGGCUUGGGGGCGCCUUAGAGCCGAACCCCGUUUUUUCAGGAAAGGGCGCUGCGACCACCCCCGUCCCGGGCCUCAGCCCCUCUGCUGCAGACCCUCGGGAUCGUCGCUGGCAAAUAGAUACAAGAAAUCUGAUCCUGUCCUCUCAAAGAAAACCCUCUGAAAUAAACUUAUCACCUUUAAAAAAGGGAUGUUGAAGAACAAGAUGGAUUUUUGUUGUUGUUGUCGUUUUUUGAGAUGGAGUCUCGCUCUUGUCGUCCAGGCCGGAAUGCGGUGGUGCGAUCUCGGCUCACUGCAACCUCCGCCUCCCAGGUUUAAGCGAUUCCCCUACCUCAGCCUCAUGAGUAGCUAGGAUUAUAGGCACCUGCCACCACGCCCGGCUAAUUUUUGUAUUUUUAGUAGAGACUGGGUUUCGCCAUGUUGGCCAGGCUGGUCUCAAUCUCCUGACCUCAGGUGAUCUGCCCGCCUCGGCCUCCCAAAGUGCUGGGAUUACAGACGUGAGCACCCAGCCUGGAUGUUGUUUUUGAUGACACUGCUAAGCACUUAUGUGAGGGAUUGUUUGGGUGGUUUGGGUCUAGAUCUAAGAUAAAGACAGUAGGAAAGAAAUGAGAGGUGGAAGGUUGUCCUAGGCUGAG